CGUAGGGUGCGAGCGUUAAUCGGAAUUACUGGGCGUAAAGCGUGCGCAGGCGGUUUGUCAAGUCUGAUGUGAAAGCCCCGGGCUCAACCUGGGAAUGGCAUUGGAAACUGGCAGGCUAGAGUGUGGCAGAGGGGGGUGGAAUUCCGCGUGUAGCAGUGAAAUGCGUAGAGAUGCGGAGGAACACCGAUGGCGAAGGCAGCCCCCUGGGCCAACACUGACGCUCAGGCACGAAAGCGUGGGAGCAAACAGGAUU
rnacentral:rRNA from 1 species